CCGAAUUAAAACAUUUUAAAAAUUAAAGAUGAAUUUAAAAUCUGCAUUGUAUAGGCACAAAUCUGCCCAGGCCUGUACAAACAUAAACCAAAAUAAUAAUAAAAACAAAAUUUUUAAUAGUUCAAGUCCCUUUAUUACAUCAGCCCAAAUAUGCCAAAAUAAAACAAAAACCCAAAACAUAAAUUGAAACAGUCCAAAAUUAAGACCCAACUACACCCAAAACCUAAAACCUAGCCCAAAAGGUAUACAAAGCCCAACUGGCCCAAAACCCAAACACUAGGAAACCCUAGGUCACCCUUUUGCGCUGCAACAGCUUUGUAUGACCGCCAGCCCUGCCACAUAUGCCUUCGUACCCUCCAUACACGCACCAUACACACCAUGUACCUGCAAACAAACAAGAGAACAACACCAAAUAGGAAAGAAAAUAGAAAAAACUUGUAUUUUUUUCUUUAUUUUUUUUAUUCUUUUGGCUAUAAAGCCCAAAAACAAAUCAAUGUAUUUUCUUUACAUGCACAUAGCAAUAAAAAACAACAAGAAAUCAAAAGAGGUGAUUUGCUCUCUUUUUUAAAAACUUAUCAUAGCAUUUCGUUUUUUUUUCUUGACUAUUCUUCUAUUUCUUUUUGUUUCUUCAUUUACAAAGAAGAAAAUAAAAAAAAAAAAGAAGAGGAUAAAGGGGAAAGUUUCACCUGAACCAUUAGUAUACUGUCGGAGUUUCUUCUCUGUUAAAGCCCAAAUCCAACGGAGGUGGAGACCUCCUUCUUUUGAUUCCUUACGAUUGAAGGUGCUAUGAAUACGGAUUUAAACAAGUCCGAAUGAGGUAAUCUACCCUUCGUUUACCACCAUUUGUGGUGGUUGUAUGGCGGCUAGGGUUUGGCCUUUGAGAAUCGACUAAAAGGAGGGGAAUUAUGGUUUUGAGGGGAAUUAUGGUUUUGUUUCAAUGGUUUGAAGAAAAUGGCAGAUUGCCAUUAAAAUGCUUCUUUUAAUUUUGGAUGAUAAAUAAAACAGCACCAUUUAUGGGGAGGGGGGAUCCGCGUGCCAACCCUCUCCAUUACCCAGAUCCGGGCCUUUGCGCUUUAAGUGGGAAAUUUCGCAGCAAGUCCUUCCUUUUUUUGCUGGCUUUUAAUUAGCCCUUAUUCACAUUUUAUUUGUUUUAAAUUUUUCCAGGAAUUUGCGCGCCAAUUCAAUUGGGUCUGCGCCUAAACGUUGCGUUUUAAGAUUUGGAACAUUUGCACUUUUAAUCCUCGGACAUUUGUGCGCGUUGUGUUUUAAUCCUUAAUUAUUUUUAUUACUUUCUUUAUUUGUAAAUUGUCCACUUGGUUUUAUUUUUAUUUCAAUUGAGUUUUUAUUAUUAUUUCAAUU
rnacentral:lncRNA from 1 species